rnacentral:lncRNA from 1 species
AAGAAAAAGGAAACUAAACAUUCACUUGUACUAUGAUUCAUUUUUGAUCAUAUACAUUACGUUCAUCUUGUUCAUUUUCGAAUUCCUUACAUUUCAUUUCAUCAUUUAUUUCCUACAUCAUAUUUACCUCAAAAUACACAUUACAUUCUUUUCUUUACAUUAUUUACCAUCAUGUACAAAAGAUGAUCAUAGGGUACUUUACUACAAAAUAAAACCCAACUUUGGUGGCCUCUGACUAAGGCGCGAUACCUUUACCUCGGUCGCUCGCCGGCUCGCUCGGUCCCGACUCUGUGGAAAUAGUGGGGUGAGAACUACAACAAGUUCCCAGUGGGUUCGGCCAACAUCACCGACUUUCCCACUAGAACUAACUCAGGCAUAAUAGAAAGGAUAAGCUGAAAUAUAGUAACCAAUCUACAACAUGAUGCUAAUAUGCCUGAACAAAAGCAAGGAAUAUGCUCAAUAUUAACAUAUGCAGAUUAUGCAAGUUCUUUCGUUCUUUAUCUUUACACUUUGUUCUUGUUCUUUGCUCUUUGUUCUUUAUUCUUUAAUCU